rnacentral:rRNA from 1 species
AGUGAACGCUGGCGGUAGGCCUAACACAUGCAAGUCGAACGGCAGCACAGUAAGAGCUUGCUCUUACGGGUGGCGAGUGGCGGACGGGUGAGGAAUACAUCGGAAUCUACUUUUUCGUGGGGGAUAACGUAGGGAAACUUACACUAAUACCGCAUACGACCUACGGGUGAAAGCAGGGGAUCUUCGGACCUUGCGCGAUUGAAUGAGCCGAUGUCGGAUUAGCUAGUUGGCGGGGUAAAGGCCCACCAAGGCGACGAUCCGUAGCUGGUCUGAGAGGAUGAUCAGCCACACUGGAACUGAGACACAGUCCAGACUCCUACGGGAGGCAGCAGUGGGGAAUAUUGGACAAUGGGCGCAAGCCUGAUCCAGCCAUACCGCGUGGGUGAAGAAGGCCUUCGGGUUGUAAAGCCCUUUUGUUGGGAAAGAAAAGCAGCAGGUUAAUACCCCGCUGUUCUGACGGUACCCAAAGAAUAAGCACCGGCUAACUUCGUG